UGGUGCUAUACUCACUUAUUGGAAUAUUAUAAAGACAUUAGAGACACGGCGGUGGGGAAGACACCUAGACUUCGGGAUUUCCAGGACUGGCCCUAUCUCCUGCUGGGUGUGAGGACUCUGGCCAAGUUUGCCACCUCUCCGGGGUUUCAUUUUUCUCUUAGGGCUUUGUGAGUACAAAAUGAGACAAUGAGUCUUUCCUUUCUGUGAAAACUAUAAAAUGCCAUAUGAAUUUGAGCAGAGGGAGGUAGCACAUAAAAGAUUCUAGUCCACAAGACAGUGUUCAAGCAAGCACUGAGCGCAGGCACAAGCACAGCUUGCCCUGAUGGGCUUUUGUUAUGAAGAAAUGGUCUUGAAUCUCAGCCUAAACAAACAAUGGGGAAGCGUCUUGGCAAAAGAUAAGGAGCAAGAAUGUGUUUUUGCACUAGACCUUCUUGUUCUUUAGAUGAUAUCAACUUCUAGCAGAAUGCCAACUAAAGUUGCAAAGAAAACAAACAGUUCUGCACAUUUCCUGCCAUCUAAGGCUGACCCCCCAUCUCCCAAUUCUUUUUUGCCUGUUUGUGAUUGGAGGGCCUACUGUCCUCUCAGACUGACCAAAGGGUUAUGAUUUGCGGUCAUCGUCAUCGUGAGCAGCACCCAACUACUACUCGAGAUACCCAGGCCUAGCUUACAGGAAGCAGGGGACGGAGUCCUGUAUUCAGGCACCUUGGAUGUGUGGGUUCCCCCAGCAGCUGAGCAUCACCCCAGCCUGCUCCUUCCAGGUGACACUAAGGAAGUGCAACCCCUCCCAGAAGAGCAUGAGCCUGGUGAAGUCCUCAGUGGAACCAGAACUGUUCUUCUCGUCAAGCAGUUAUCUAUGUUAUCUUUCUUGGCACGAUUGUCUUAUGGAUUAGGGAGAUUAGGGGUAAUAAAUGUCUCGUUUGAG
rnacentral:lncRNA from 1 species